UCCGUCGAGUUUCAGCAGAGCAUUGGUGGCUCCCUCGUUCUGAAAAGGACUCUAGUUCGUUAGUAAGAAGAAAUCAGGAUUCACGGUGUCUGAAAACGGCGCAGCGGUAGCCUUACAUGGUUAUAUUAUUAUUACUUCGGAAUCAUAGCUCUGCAAGUCAUGAUAUCACCGAACAAAAGCUUCUGACAUAUUAUACAACAUAAAUAAACUCUUAAAGACAUUAAGCUUAAUAAGUAAAAUAUGAAGUCAAUUUAAAAAUGUAUAAAAACGUAUUUUUACUCUAAAUAUAGUGAAGUUCUACAUAUACGUCGCCAGUUGCUUUUUAUAGCCUCUUAAAAUCGAGAUCGUCAAAGUGUACAGAGAACUGAAGUUGAAAUUUGUGCUAAAAUGCUGAAAGUUCGAAAGUUGCUUAAUUAUGUUCACAUGAGCAAAUGGCUGUGUUUUAGAAGAAUUCUAGGACACAUAACCAGUUCGAUUUUAUCGCUCCUUUCCUUUUAUCUAUACCUAUAGAGUAACAAAAAGUACGGAAAUUGAGAUGAAAUUCUUGCUAAGAGGCUAAUAUAGGAAAAACCACAAACAAUUCUAUUGUAUCGGUUCUUGAAGGAAUAGAGUACAAGAAGAACAAUGGAUGAAGAAAAAGAUAAGUUUUGACAUAUUUCAUUUAGUAAGGGAAUUCAAUACCAUACAGUACUAUGCAAAAUGAUCCUGUACUGCCAGCGAUCCUGCGACCGCUGCAUCGUUUACAACCGGCCAUAAUGCAUUGUACCCACCUGCGCGAAGGUAACGAAGGCAU